rnacentral:rRNA from 1 species
GAUGAACGCUGGCGGCAUUCCUAACACAUGCAAGUCGAGCGAACUCUUCGGGGUGAGCGGCGGACGGUUGAGUAACGCGUGGGUAACCUGCCCUAUACACACGGAUAACGUACCGAAAGAUACGCUAAUACGGGAUAAAGUUGUUGGAUGGCAUCUUCUAACAAUCAAAGCUCCGGCGGUAUAGGAUUGACCCGCGUCUGAUUAUCUAGUUGGUGAGGUAAUGGCUAACCAAGGCGACGAUCAGUAGACUACCUGAGAGGGUGAUAGGCCACACUGUAACUGAGACACGGUCGAGACUACUACGGGAGGAAGCAGUGGGGAAGAGUGCACAAUGGGCGAAAGCCGGAUGCAGCAACGCCGCGUGAGCGAUGAAGGUCUUCGGAUCGUAAAGCUCUGUCCUCAAGGAAGAUAAUGACGGUACUUGAGGAGGAAGCCCCGGCUAACUACGUGCCAGCCGCCGCAGUAA